rnacentral:rRNA from 1 species
AAAUUUAGUAGCGAAGUAGCUGAUUUCACACUGUCAAGAAAAGUCUCUAUCGAGGUUAAAGGUACCCGUACCGCAAACCGACACAGGUGGGUGAGGAGAGUAACCUAAGGCCAGCGAGAGAACUGUUGUUAAGGAACUCGGCAAAAUGACCCCGUAACUUAGGGAUAAGGGGUGCCACCAUCAGGUGGCCGCAGAGAAUAGGACCAAGCGACUGUUUACCAAAAACGUAGGUUUCUGCUAAGUCGCAAGACGAUGUAUAGGAGCUGACGCCUGCCCGGUGCUGGACGGUUAAGGGGAUCUGUUAGAGUAAUCGAAGCAGUGAACUUAAGCCCCAGGAAACGGCGGCCGUAACUAUAACGGUCCUAAGGUAGCGAAAUUCCUUGUCGGGUAAGUUCCGACCCGCACGAAAGGCGUAACGGUAUGGGCAC